CAAACUAAGGACUCUGUUGGGAUGAUACCGUUGAGUCACCGAGACUAGAUUUAGUCCCCAAUCAAGGUAAUGGCAGAUUCUUUUUGCAUGUUUAAUAGAUUGACUGGGUUGGACUUGCUUUCUUCCUUAACUUUGUCCACUACUGAUUAAUCUUUCCUAACUGCAGAGUUUGUGCGUGGAAACUUCUGAGUGAAUAAUUAGUUUUGGGUAUUGUAAGAUAUUUGAAUGCUUUCACAGUGAAAUAUUCACAAUACUGUUCUUGUAUGUACUUUAUUGUGCUAUGGAUUGUAAUGAAGCCUAUAAUUUG
rnacentral:lncRNA from 1 species